rnacentral:rRNA from 1 species
UACAGAGGGGGCAAGCGUUAUUCGGAAUUAUUGGGCGUAAAGGGCUCGUAGGCGGUCUGUUGCGUCGGGAGUGAAAACUCAGGGCUUAACCCUGAGCCUGCUUCCGAUACGGGCAGACUAGAGGUAUGCAGGGGAGAACGGAAUUCCUGGUGUAGCGGUGAAAUGCGCAGAUAUCAGGAGGAACACCGGUGGCGAAGGCGGUUCUCUGGGCAUUACCUGACGCUGAGGAGCGAAAGUGUGGGAGCGAACAGG